CAUGCAAGUCCGACGUGAAAGGGGAGCAAUCCCCCGGUAGGGUGGCAAACGGGUGAGUAAGACAUGGGUGAUCUGCCCUGGAGAUGGGGAUAUCCCUCCGAAAGGGGGGGCAAUACCGAAUAGUAUCCGGUUCCGUGAAGGGGACCGGGGAAAGGGAGGCCUCUGGUACAAGCUUCCGCUCCUGGAUGAGCCCAUGGCCCAUCAGCUAGUUGGUAGGGUAAAGGCCUACCAAGGCGACGACGGGUAGCUGGUCUGAGAGGACAACCAGCCACACUGGCACUGAGACACGGGCCAGACUCCUACGGGAGGCAGCAGUGAGGAAUAUUGCGCAAUGGGGGCAACCCUGACGCAGCAGCGCCGCGUGUGGGAAGAAGGCUUUCGGGUUGUAAACCACUUUUGCCCGGGACGAAAAGGGAUGUCAGAACACGGCAUUUCGAUGACGGUACCGGGAGAAUAAGCCACGGCUAACUCUGUGCCAGCAGCC
rnacentral:rRNA from 1 species